rnacentral:misc_RNA from 1 species
GAUGAAGAACGUAGCGAAAUGCGAUAAGUAAUGUGAAUUACAGAAUUCAGUGAAUCAUCGAAUCUUUGAACGCACAUUGCGCCCUCUGGUAUUCCGGGGGGCAUGCCUGUUCGAGCGUCAUUACAACCCUCAAGCUUUGCUUGGUAUUGGACAUUGCCAGUUUCUGGCAGGUCUUAAAAUCAGUGGCGGUGCCAUUUGGCUUCAAGCGUAGUAAUUCUUCUCGCUUUGGAGAUCCAGGUGGUUACUUGCCAAUAACCCCCAAUUUUUUCAGGUUGACCUCGGAUCAGGUAGGGAUACCCGCUGAACUUAAGCAUAUCAAUAAGCGGAGGA